rnacentral:ncRNA from 1 species
CUUAUCAAGAGUGGCGGAGGGAACAGGCCCUGUGAAGCCCGGCAACCUGUCGGCCGUGAAGAACGGCUGAGAAGGUGCCAAAUCCUGCGGGAGUACCGAGAGAUGAGG